GACGAACGCUGGCGGCGUGCUUAACACAUGCAAGUCGAACGGAAAGGCCCUGCUUUUGUGGGGUGCUCGAGUGGCGAACGGGUGAGUAACACGUGAGUAACCUGCCCUUGACUUUGGGAUAACUUCAGGAAACUGGGGCUAAUACCGGAUAGGAGCUCCUGCUGCAUGGUGGGGGUUGGAAAGUUUCGGCGGUUGGGGAUGGACUCGCGGCUUAUCAGCUUGUUGGUGGGGUAGUGGCUUACCAAGGCUUUGACGGGUAGCCGGCCUGAGAGGGUGACCGGCCACAUUGGGACUGAGAGACGGCGCAGACGCCUACGGGAGGCAGCAGGGGGGAAUAUUGCACAAUGGGAGGAAGCCUGAUGAAGCAACGCCGCGGGCGGGAUGACGGCCUUCGGGUUGUAAACCGCUUUAGCCUGUGACGAAGCGUGAGUGACGGUAAUGGGUAAAGGAGCACCGGCUAACUACGUG
rnacentral:rRNA from 1 species